rnacentral:rRNA from 1 species
UACGUAGGAGGCAAGCGUUGUCCGGAGUACUGGGCGUAAAGCGCACGCAGGCGGUCCCAUUAGUCUGUAGGGACAGGGCACGGCUCAACCGUGUCAGGCUUAUGGAAACUGCGGGACUGAGGGCUUCAGAGGAUGGGGAAUUCCGGGUGGAGUGGUGAAAUGCGCAGAUAUCAGGAGGAACACCGAUGGCGAAGGCAGAUCUCUGGGCCGUAACUGACGCUGGAGGAGCGAAAGCAUGGGGAGCGAACAGG